CCUACGGGAGGCUGCAGUGGGGAAUAUUGCACAAUGGGCGCAAGCCUGAUGCAGCCAUGCCGCGUGUGUGAAGAAGGCCUUCCGGUUGUAAAGCACUUUCAGCGGGGAGGAAGGCGUUAAGGUUAAUAACCUUGUCGAUUGACGUUACCCGCAGAAGAAGCACCGGCUAACUCCGUGCCAGCAGCCGCGGUAAUACGGUGGGUGCAAGCGUUAAUCGGAAUUACUGGGCGUAAAGCGCACGCAGGCGGUCUGUCAAGUCGGAUGUGAAAUCCCCGGGCUCAACCUGGGAACUGCAUUCGAAACUGGCAGGCUAGAGUCUUGUAGAGGGGGGUAGAAUUCCAGGUGUAGCGGUGAAAUGCGUAGAGAUCUGGAGGAAUACCGGUGGCGAAGGCGGCCCCCUGGACAAAGACUGACGCUCAGGUGCGAAAGCGUGGGGAGCAAACAGGAUGAGAUACCCCUGUAGUC
rnacentral:rRNA from 1 species